ACAGCGUUUAUUCCUUCUUCCUCAGGUUUCCAGAUUAUAACUUCUUUUUGUCAUCAGCUUUGAAGCCACUCCCUUUCUUUCAGUGGGGCAGCUUUAGGGUUCUCUGGGCUUGAGAGCAGGAGUUUAGACUCCAGUGGAUAAAAUAUCACUUCUCAGGUGUCAAAUCACAAGAUGUUAACCAACUAAUUUAUGUCAGAAAGCCUGCUGGGCACUGCUCUGCUCCAUGCUUGACCAUACUCCACUGCUACACUCAUGAGAAGCUCAUCCAGGCUUUUUCUGCCCUGAAGGAAACAUCACACCAGUUCCAUGUCCCCCCGGCACUUUUCGUUCAGAAGGAGCAGCACCGAUAUCACACAGCUGCUUGACAUGCCCAGUGAAUUUCUUUAAUCCUCUGCCUGGCCAAAAAGCAUGUCUUCCAUGUGGCUCAGAGGCUGCACAGCCUGCAGAAGGUCAAGAUACAUGCAUCUGCCUUGGGAAAGGUCAGGUGUUCCAGCCCCGUGACGCUCAUUGCGCAUGCCCUCCAGGUUAUUGGAGCUCCUUAGAUGAUAGAAGACGUUGUGUGAGACAAGUGUAUGACAUUUGUAGAGAUUCAGCCUCCCGAAAUCAGGAAGGACAAUGUUUAACCAAGAAAGGAUGGGCUCGUUAUUGCUCAGAAAAGGUUUGUACCAUACCUGAAGAUUAUGAAGGCUACGACAAGGUCCUUGGCCUCUGCAUUUGUCAAGCUGACAGUCUGGAAAGCGUGUGCAAUUCUCAGUGUAGAAGACAACAAAAAGAUAUUCUGCGGUUCACUUGUGCAGAGAAAAAUGCUCAGCUUUUUAUCACUUACAGAAAUGGGAGUAAGGUAAAGGACUGCGUUUAUUUCUACAGUUUAUCAAUUUACACUCAAAUUCUAAUUUUUUAGUAAUCUUUUAACCAAGGAACAGCCUCAUUCUUCUCUUCUUAAAAAGAGUACAGAAGGAAAGACGUUAACAAAAAAAAACACUAUUACAUGCAUAGCAUAUUUUUGUA